AAAGUGAUGUGAAGCUGACUCUGCAAUGAAAACCCACAGAAGAAGCGAUGCCUUCUCAAGCUGGCAUAACUCUGCCAACAGCUCAUCCAAAGCUUUUACACAUCGCCAAAGCUGCUUCUCAAGCCUACACAGUUUGCAAAGUGGAAAGAAAAGGAAUUGAAGAAGCAAAAAUAAAUAUUAAAGCACGUAAGAAUUAAACAUUACCUACUUAAAUAGCAAUUAUGCUGCUGAAAACAAGAUCAUCACACCUGUACAAGAAAAGACAUGCAAGCUCCAAACAUCUGUUUGGAUCCACCUGCCAGGCACCUGUUUUGCUGCUUCAAUGCCAUUUGAUUGCUGGAGAUGUAGAGGCUCUUGUGAGGUGAAGCUAUCAAUGUGCUGAACCAGUGCCUGGCUGCGACAAUGGACUGGAGUGGGUCUAGCAUUGCUUAUGUCCGUGAGAACGCCUUAAAGAUGUGCACACUAUGAGGAAGAGUCCAAGCUGAUGAAGAGGAUACUACAAACAUCUUUUUGGGGACAUGCCUUGCAUGAUGUUUCAGAUAAAAGUUCAACAAGUAUCCUUGUUCAAACGGGAAGUUUCAGUACGAAACCUAAACAGCACAAGUUCAGCUCAUUUCUGUAAUGCAUGCUAACAUAUCGUAACUUGGUGCUGCAGUGAAUGGGCUGAUUAACACAAGCAUGCAUAUAAUUUGUUUUUUCUUUAAUGCAAUGCCAGUAUACUUGGUGACCAACAUCUAAAUGAACUUUCUUUACUCUGUCUGGGGAGAUGUGAAAUUUCCAUGUGUGUUAAGAUGCCAAUUCCUGGCUAGCCAGAGAAACUAGAGUGUAAAUGGUCAUGCUAAGAAGGUAUGAGAGCAGAUCUCCUCCGUUAAGGGCUGCGAAAGUACAGAGGAAAGCCCACAGAACAGAAAGAGACAAAGCAGGAGAGAGGAACCUCAGGCCCAAGGGCCAAAUGUUUAGGGCCUCUCUGUUUGGCCCUCAGGACUCUCCCCAGGCCACACCCCUUCCCAGAGGCUACACCCUGCCUGAGUGCUUUUGCCUGGCUGAAUGUGUCCUUGAAAUGUGACUGUGCCUCUUGCUUGGCUAGAAGGAGGAUGGAGAGGUGUUGCAUAUGUGUCUGCGUGUCUCUUUCUCUCUCUGUGUAGAAACCUCUACCUUUUGCAUGGCUGGAAUGUAACCUACUGUACAAAGGUGGGAGUCACAUCCAUGGCUGUGCUGACUUUUGCCUUUGACCCCAUCCACCACUGGUAUGCAGCCCCCAAAAGGUUGGCUAUGAAGGAAUGUAGCUGUCAAACUGAAGAAAGCCGCCCCAGUCUGAUUUAAAGUGUACAACAUACAUCCAAACUUGAUGCUGAGGGUACCACUGGGCUAAACAUUUUGGCCCACAGUUUUCAGCAGUUUCAGUGGCUAAGGCAAAAAUGGUCCUCUCCUCAAAUAUCUGAUUAAUCCUGGGGUGGGGGAAGGAGGAAUCCUGAAAAAUGUUUGGGUGAAGAUAAGGUGGGCUGAUUUUUUUCACACAUAAAAAGCCUUGCUGCUGCUCCAAGUGGUAGCAUGGCUGCCCUCAUCAUCCCAGCUGCAUUCUUUCAUCAUUUGACACAGAAUGCCUCAGUGGUAAUGGUGCUAUACCAUGUCACAGGCUUUACUGGAGAGAACGAUUGUCACUCCCCCUCUUUAUUUCUCAUAAAAACAAAAGACAAACCCUUGGCUACCUCGUUUUAAUGGUAAGCCCAAUCCUCGCAUGAAGGUUUGUUGAAGUCACUCGCUUUCAUGGAGGAUGAAUGGUCCUGUUGAAAGGGAGGGCAGCCUUAACAGUGGUACAAUCAACAAAUACAUGACAGAGGACUCAAAACCCAUGCAGAUAACUCAAAGCAAUGUUCCAAGCCACAGGUUUCACAUCAAGUGAAGCCAUGGGCAAAAGUCAACUCCCCAAACAUAUAUACACUCCUGUCUCAUACUCAUGCACCCUCAUCCUAGCUUCUCUCCCUCCCUCUCACAUAACAAUCCACCUUUUUCUCUCUGAUUCAUGCACGCCCAGCAUUCCGUCACCUUUGUGUCAGACAUUCUCACCACUUUCUUUCUGUCCCUCUGUCAUUUAUUCACACGCACAUCCUCACUCCACCAUCUUUCUAUCUCUCCCAGUCACAACAGACUUGGCACACACAUGCUCUCCCCUCCUCCCCAAGCUGUCAUCCUGCUGUGGGCACUCAAGGCUGGAAGUUGGGAACUCCUUAGAAUCAGCAGGAGCUGCUCUGAAUAGCUGUGGUAACCUGGCAGGAGUAGUGGCUGGGUAGCUGUGCCAGUAGCCAGCUAGCAGUUCAGCCCAGCAUGCCAUGGAUUCUUCACUCCGCCACCACUACCACCUUUGCUGAUCACCAUCUGCCAUAUUCACCAGGGAAAUGUUUUUUUUAAAAAAAACAUAAAAAGUACUGGAGAAAUCCCCCACCAGUGAAGUCAAACUUCCAUGCCAGUAAAGUGCCUUUUUCAGUUCACUCAGCUUCUUCCUCCAGUAUGAGGGCAUCAUGGGUCCCUUUUUUCCUCUUCUCGUCUGUGCCCCUUCUCAGGAAACUCCAACUCUCCCUCCCCUCCAGUGCCCUUUUCACACUGCCCCCGCCAAAAUGUAUUAUUCAGAGCAUCACACAGACUGGGGACACAUUAAAACAAAUGACAACCUGCAAUAGGUCACUUGUGCGCACGGUGGGUGCUGUGCCACUUAACUGACCUCCCUCCAUCUGAGUCCCUGCACCAUCUGCUGAUGAUGACAAGAAAGCUCAUUGAAAACAAUGGGACCUUAUCUGAAGGCCCAUUGGAAAUAACGAAACUUUGAAUGUCAGUUGAGAUGCCAGAACUCCACUGAAAUAAAUGCAAGCUUAAGCGUUAAAUGUGUCGAAAACUUGAUGAGAUGUUAACUGCCCUCUUCAAUAACUUUCUGUCUUAGAACAGGAAAUGGAGAGAAAAGAGUCUGGAAAAUUUCCUUAUACCCAGGCUCUUUGCCCCACACCUUAAUAAACAGGCAGCCCUAAACACCAACAGAGACGUUUACGGGAAUGAAACAGCCAAUCACUGUGCAAUCUCUGCACCCUGUGCACUCUUCCUGCAGCAUAAGGGACUCAGGUGAAGUGGGUGCAUGAUGCCAAAUACUAAAAUAAAGCAUACAGAAAUGCAACAGGCUGGUGCUAAAGGUCUUAAAUUUACCAGUCUGCUACUAUUGCUACUGAGUCAGAGAAAGUUGUUUUGGAGACAAAAGAUUGGAGUGAUAGAACAAAUGGCUCCCCUCCAACAAGAAUUAGAAUCACAGCAUCAGAACAGAGAUAUACAAAAAAACUGACCAGUAGUGCUAUACAAAAGAGGUCAAUUAGGAGAAGGGAGCCAGUUAAUGUAAAGGCACAAAGCUUGAUGUGAGGUUUAUUUGUUUUUUAAACAAUAAAAAUAAAAUUCUAGUAUUAAAAUUAUUUGAGGCUGUGAAGAACGGGGGGAAAUGUGUUUAUGUUGCCUGUAAACAAUGGCAAAAAUAUAGAGAACAGAGAAACAAACAAACUCCUCAGAGAAUGGACUGUAUCUAAUUGCUAGUGGUGCAAAAACUGAAUGGAGAAGAACAUUGUUGAAUGUAUGUGCUGAAUUUCUUUAAAUCACAUUUGAUGUUAAAAUACAUUUAUCAUAGCAUUGGUGUAUUAUGUAAUUUGUAUAUUUAUAAAAGUUUAAAAGAGUAUUUUGCAUAGUUGAAAGUGCCCCUUUGAGUACAUUCCCCACCAAUGAAAAUUCAUUUUAAAUGGCACUGAUAAUUUGUUGCUAUUACUGCUAGUUUGGGUGGCAGGGCUCUAAAGUAAGUGGCUCCUACAUGCCUCUAUUGUUCUUUUGCAAGGUGUCAUUUUACUAGCCUAUGCAGUCUAGGGAUGGGGGAGAAAUUUGAUUCAGUUCUCAUUUAUAGGUUAACCUACUUAAUCUGCAUAUUCCAAAAUAAUAUGCAAAACAAAACACAAGCUUCCUUCGAAAUUUGUACUCUGAAUUUUGCAAUGCAGUUCUCCAGCCCCAAGUAAUGUGUACAAAACUGUAUGUAGUAGGGCGAAGCAUCCAUAAAAAUGCAUAUAUUGGUGAAACUAAUUUAUAAAAAUGCAUUAUAUCAGGGGAAAUUGCUUUGUAAAAAUGGGUAUUUUAGGCAAAAUUGCAUAGACAGAUAUAUGAGAAGAAAUUCACACUAAAAUGCUGCUGAAUUUUCAUAAGGGCUUUUUCUUUUCAAAAAAAUCACAAACUGAUGUGGAAACAUAAACAACUGAACUUAAGAGUGGAAAAAUGAGAUAUGGAGAGAAACUGCAACUGAUAGAUUCACCUUUCUCUAUUGUGUUCUCAGUGCCAUACGUACACAUGUCUGCCACCUCCUGGUCUUUCCUGCCCCAGAAUAAAUAUGAACACACAGAGAGACACAUACAAUGUUUAAAAAACAUGUAUGAACCACUCCAUGGAAUAACCACUGGUACAGUGUUAUUGAAAUGCAUCAAGCCUGCUCGUGUCUACUUUGGGAGCAACCAGAAACAUUCUAACUACCAGAAAUAUUA